GAUGAACGCUGGCGGCGUGCCUAAUACAUGCAAGUCGAGCGAACGGACGAGAAGCUUGCUUUUCUGAUGUUAGCGGCGGACGGGUGAGUAACACGUGGAUAACCUACCUAUAAGACUGGGAUAACUUCGGGAAACCGGAGCUAAUACCGGAUAAUAUUUUGAACCGCAUGGUUCAAAAGUGAAAGACGGUCUUGCUGUCACUUAUAGAUGGAUCCGCGCUGCAUUAGCUAGUUGGUAAGGUAACGGCUUACCAAGGCAACGAUGCAUAGCCGACCUGAGAGGGUGAUCGGCCACACUGGAACUGAGACACGGUCCAGACUCCUACGGGAGGCAGCAGUAGGGAAUCUUCCGCAAUGGGCGAAAGCCUGACGGAGCAACGCCGCGUGAGUGAUGAAGGUCGUCGGAGCGUAAAACUCUGUUAUUAGGGAAGAACAUAUGUGUAAGUAACUGUGCACAUCUUGACGGUACCUAAUCAGAAAGCCACGGCUAACUACG
rnacentral:rRNA from 1 species